rfam:TPA: Bos taurus chromosome 9, whole genome shotgun sequence.
UCCCUGAUGGUUCAGCAGUAAAGUAUAUCUGCCUGCAAUGCAGGAGAUGCAGGUUCUAUUCCUGGAUAGGGAA